AUUUAAUAGCCUCUAAGCUAAAAUGAGGCGCAUUCAGGAGUGCCGUCCCUCGUGGCUAGUCAUGGCCUGGGAAACAUUACGGCUCCAUCCCGGUUUGCUUAAGGAGCAAGAGUUGGCGUUCAAGAUACCAGGAGUUUGAAAUGGAAAAAACUGGCCGCGCUGCUCAAGCUGGGAUGAUGUAAUCUGCCUUCUAGGGCGAGGAACAGAGGGCCGAGGAUCACCUGGGCGUUGGGAGCACCUCCCGCCAAGUGGAAGCCUCGGUGCUGUGCUCUACAUGGAGAACCAGCUCCAGAACUUUAGCCACCUUUCGGAGUAAGGACGGCCCAAGAGCACUAUACGGAAGCGGGACCCUUCCCUUCGGCCGGAAUUGAACCACCAGCGUCCCAAACUGAAGGAUAGUGAAGCCAACCCCAACCCCAAGCUGCCUCUUCCUUGACUAUCAUUUCUUAUGGCUAACACCCUUUCUUCCCUCUCCUCAGCCUCAGAGUCUGUCUGUGUCGCAACCAAGAUUCCUGACUGACACAUUUGUUUCUGGUAGAACUCCUACGGUGACCCCAACUUUGCCUGACAUUCCCACCACGUCCAUUUUUCCUGUCCCAUCUCACGCUGACGUUGCCACUUGGAGCUGCCAUACCUCUGCUCAAACCUGGCCCCUGUCUGCCAGUCUCUCUUCCAAGGCCACUGUAAUUUUGAGCCCUCUUCCCCGUGUCCCCACUGCCUCCCUCUAGCCCCGGUCCUAAGGCUCAGGCACCCUGGGCUCCCACCCAUCCAGAGGCCUGAGCAGCUGGGCAGUCAUCCUAACCCUGUUACGAUGUCAGCACUAGACUUAGUGCCGACAAGGGAGAGACUCCUCAGGUGCUAGAAGGGAGGGUCACUGGGAGGAAAGAGGGGCACAGGCAGAGAUGGGACAGUAGCAGAGACAUUGCCAAUUUUUAUAUUUUAUCUAGUAACACAGUUGUCAUUUACUGAGUUCCUGCAUUGUUCUGGCCCUAUAUAUGCAUGACCUUACACUAAUACUUUGAAGUUGAGACUAUCGUAAUCCCCACUUUCAGAGGAGGAAACAAGAGCUUUGGGAUUUGUUUUUUUCCCCCCCUUUUCUUUUUUUCUGAAACAAGUGUUUAAAGAAGUAAAGAGGUAGCGAUCUCUUAUGACUCCGUGGAUUGGUUGGUGUUGUCACUUGUCACUGCAGUGGCUCAGGUCACAGCUAUGGUGCAGGUUCAGUCUCUGGCCUGGGAACUUCCACAAGCCACAGUUGUGCCGCCUUUCC
rnacentral:lncRNA from 1 species